UUCGGUAGCAGCGGCGGUGGCGGCGGCAGGCGGGUAUGGAGGGUGUGAAACAUGGCUCACCAAGGAAAUAAAUAACGGGACCGGGACCAUAUCAUUUAAGAUAUAAAAAAAUACAAGGUAAAAAGAAAAAGAAAAAGAUAAAAAGAAGAACAGGAAGCGGAUAUUCCAAGAGUGAAGAAAAAACUGUGUUAGAGUUGCAGUCGGUGCCGCACGCUUCAGUGUUGAUGUUGGUAUUUGGCCACGAAUACCUGCCGAAAAUAGUCCCGUGCCCGCUCGCCUGUCUGACGCCUGUCUCUGCGACGGUGUCAUCGCCUCUUCGUCGGUCCCCACUCUCCAGGGUUAAGUCUGUGGAUUCACCUCCAGGACACAGCGCUGAGUCCAGUGUGGAUACAGAAACUACAGGCUUGUAAUCUGGAGCCUGUUUUUAGACGGAAAGCGACUGACUCCUUCGAACAGACGUCCUAUUAUUGAGGCUCCUCUGUCCUGUGUGACCCCCCCCCCCUGCAUAGAGAGGAUGGUGAUGGAGGAGGGGGACCAGAGAGACAGAGGGAGGGGGGAUCCAGCCACAGCAGGGGCAGAGGGAAGGCAAAUCCUGAAUGAGAUCGCGGAGCAGAACCUUGACGCCAUUUGUCGCUCUACAUACCGAACAGCAUGCAAACUCAGAUAUGUACAAAAGAGAUGCAACUUGCAUCUGAUCGACAUUUACAAUGUGAUCGAGGCGGUGCGGGACGCUGGUCUGAACGCUGUCGAGCUGAACGCUGGCAUCUCUGUGACCAGGCUGGAGAACCUGGUGUCCUCCCUGUUCAACCAGCUUAGCAAGCGCAUGCCCACCACACACACCAUCAACCCGCGAGAGAGUACUGUGCUGCUGGUCGGAUUCCUCCUGGCUGCCAUCGACAGUGAACCAGAGAGCCGACUGACGGUGCUCUCGGUCAAGGCGAUGCUGGCCACACUUUGCGGAGGGAAACUUGUAGAUAAACUUCGCUAUGUGUUUUCUCAGGUAUCGGACUCACACGGUGUGUUGGUAUUGUCAAAAUUUGACAAUUUUUUGAGGGAGACUCUCAAGCUGCCCACUGCUCUGCAUGAAGGACCGUCCUUCGGCUACACACACACCUUAGCACGCUCAUGCUUUCCACAACAGAAAAGGGUGAUGCUCAACAUGUUCCUGGACAUCAUAGCUGAACCUCCUCAGUGUCUUGUCUGGCUGCCUCUCAUGCACCGCAUGGCCAAUGUAGAACACGUCUAUCAUCCAGUGACGUGCUCUUACUGUCGUGGCAACGGUAUGACAGGCUUCCGCUAUCGCUGCCUCCGUUGCCGUGGCUACCAGCUCUGCCAGAAUUGCUUCUGGCGCGGCAACGCCAGCGGCUCUCACAGCAACCAGCAUCAGAUGAAGGAGCACUCAUCGUGGAAGUCGCCGGCGACUAAGCUGGGCCGAGCCCUGAGCAGGACUCUGGGCUGCGUAUCGUCCAGGGAGCCCUCCCACCCCGUUUACUCAGAAGAACCUGUGAGGACCCUAAACCUCUCCAACAUAGUCCCCUCUCAACCCAUUGGAAACAGCAGUGAGGCCAUGUUGCUGUCUGCGUCAGUGCCAGAGUCAUCCAAGAGUUUGGCAACGGCUCAGCGUAUGAACGAGGAACACGCUCUGAUCGCUGCCUAUGUGAAUCGCCUCCAGAGCAGCCCGCGCAGCGUGGACAGUCCCAGCAGGCAAGACGAGGAGCACAAACUGAUCGCGCGCUACGCCUCCCGACUGGCAGACACCGACGGUGCAGGAGUGAUUCCUAACCGGAGCAUCAACUUCGAUGUGAACAAACAGAAGAGGGAGCUCAUUGCUCAGCUGGAGUGUAAGAACAGAGAGAUCUUGGCAGAGAUCAAACAUCUCCGAGCAGAACAUGACGCGGCGUGCCAGCCCAGCCCGGAGAAGGGCAGCACCAACCCAACUCUGCUGGCUGAGCUUCGGCUGCUCAGACAGAGGAAAGACGAGCUGGAGCAGAGGAUGUCGUCUCUGCAAGAGAGCAGGAGGGAGCUGAUGGUACAGCUGGAGGGGCUGAUGAAGCUGCUCAAGGCGCAGGCAGCUGGCUCUUCUCACGCCUCUCCUUCUCGGCCGAGCCCGUCAACCGUCCGCUCAGUAGGAACAGCGUCUCCCCAGAUGCACAUGUCUCCCCCUCAAGACUCCCUUGCCGGGGUGGGCGGUGAUGUACAGGAGGCCUUUGCUCAAGGUAAGAGAAAAAUGCCCGAGAAGAAACCUGAGGAACGACCUUCUGGUAGCAGCAGACUCCAUCACCAACACUGUGUCCUCACUGGUCAAAGAGCUUCACUCUGAUGAUGGUCGGGAGGAAGAGGAGAGGUUGCUGAACGGGAAGGACCGAGCAGGUUAAAAUGAUGGCAGAACAAACAAAAACAACAGUGUGAUGUUUCAGUUUCAUCACGGCCAAAGAAGACUGACCCUGCCGGGAUUCAAGCGUAUCUUCUUAUAUUCAUCGUUAGCCAAUUGGGGAUUAGAGCUCCACUUGUCAAUCAACAAAUCACGAUGCUGGACACCAAAAUGACCGCUGGGUCCCUACUGAUGUAUAGCUGUGAUUCUGUGUCUGUCUUGUCACUGUGGUUUUUAACGUUUGUUUUGAUUUGAUCGCGCGUAGCUAAACGAGGAAUCCGAAGCCUACUGAUUUGUACUGUAGCGUGUUCGCAUGUGUGUGUGUGUGUGCUCUGCGUUUUCGAGGUGCGAGAGGGUCGAGCAAGUGAGAGGGACAUCGUAAAGAGACAGAAAGAUUUUUUUUGUUUUUUUUUUAAAGGAAAUUUAAGAAACAGAAAAGUGCAAGAAUGGAGAUACUGGAGGAUGGAGAUAGUGGAUGUGAGAGAGGAAAAAGCGAAGGAAAAACAAAAGAGGGACAGAUGUUAAAAAGAUAAGAAGCGAGUUUUAAUGUUUUAAGUUUCGGCACUGUGUGCUUAGUAUUUAUUGUUUUGCUUUGAUUUGAUUUGUAUUAUUUUUUUGCCAUUUAUUCAUUUGGUUUGAGCGUUUUAUGUGUACGUGAGUGUGGUCAGGCCCUGCUGAGACGAUAAGCUUUAAUGGGACAUUUCCUGCUGUACCAAACCAGCCCCCCCCCACCCCCCUUUCCCACACACCCCAACGCUUUAGGACUCCUUCAAGAUGCAGAAUGGAAAGUCUUCAUCCAAGUCCAGGGGCCUCAUUUAUAAAACAGGAUCUGUACCAAAAGUGCACAUAAAAAAAAACGAAAGUAGCUUUGCGCCAAAUCAUAUUUAUCAAAACUGUGUGUACGCAAGAAUGCAAUCAUGUUUCCAUUCAUGAAUCACAAUCACCUUGAAAAUGUGCGCAUGUGGACGAACCUCACACCCCACCCAUUUUACUCCCACAAUUAACCAUAAAUGGUCAUUGCAAAAGGAUUCAUGAAUAUUGAUAUACGUGUUGUUCCUUUGUUGGAGAACUUUAACAGAGUAAAGUUUGAGAAUAAAGUUCACUGCAGCUAUUUUACACACAAAAACUAUAUGACAAGUAAAAUCAUACCCGGUGAUGCACAGUAUUAUACUAGCUUUAAAUGAGGCCCCUGGUGUCUGAGACCUGGAUGAGAUUAGUGCCAGUAUGAUAGCAGCUCAGGUUGUCCCAGCCUCCGUUUAUCCUGGUACUGCAGUGAGGCUACAGUCAAAGAGGAGAUAUCUGAUUACUGCGGUGUGUGUGUGUGUGUGUGUGUAUGUGAGAAUGAGUGUAUGGAAAAAGUGGAAAUAUAAAACUAUUUUCUUCAACAGUAACGUGUGUUUUGGAGGUAUUUACCCCCUCAAACUCACAUUUAAACAUUUUCUUUUAAAGAGUCAGUUCACCCAAAUUCCAAAAACUCUUUCUAUUUUUCUUGUGAAAUAUUGGAUACUUUUACCUCUUCAGAAUUCUUGACUAUAGCUAUGUCUACAUUCAAGCUGUAACCUGCAAUGUGAUGAAGGGUCUCAAGUGCUUUAUUUUGAGGGGUCACAAGGCAAACCACUUCUGUAGACAUGUCAAGUCAUGCAGAUAGCUUGGAGUUUAUUUGUCCGGAGUUCGUCUCCUAAGGUUUCUGCCUCCACCUCAGUAAUAAGAAGGUGAAUGAUAUUUUUUUGUGGUGCUCACAGGAAUAAAACUAUAAAACAAUAAAUAAAUAAAAAACUUUUUCCAGAAACACUGUCCACCAAUCACACAGUGAACAGUUUUUACUGGAACUACUGUUUAUUGAAGAAAUGGUGCCUAAAAGUCUGUUUGCUUCAUGAUUUGGGUGAACUGAUCAUUUAAUAAUCACCUCAACAGCUUCACUGGUUUUCAUUGGAUGUAGUUGUAUAGGACGAUAAGUUGUAAACAUUUUAUUGUUGUAUCAUAGGAAUUAUAUUCUUUAUCAUCUGCUCGGUAUGGAGAAUAUCUCAUAGUUUUAAUACUACGUUACCCAUGAGCCUCAGCAGUCUAGGUGAAGCCUGCCAGAGAUGUGAAAUAGAGCUGUAGGAAAUUCAAAACGCUCCAUUGUUAUAAUGUAUAUCUACAUUUGGCCCAGAUUUCUUCCAUAAGACAGAAUUAAACUGAAAUGUUCAGCUCUGUGAUUGGAUGUUUGUCACUGCAAUGUUCCCUGGGAGUUGUAGUUGACAUCUUUCUGGCUUUUUAUUAAAGAAUCACACAUUUCAAACCCAUUUUUUAACCAACGAUUCAACCAAGAGUUGAUUCAAGCCUUUAAAGUCUUCCAACUGCCAGUCACCAUAAAAAGUCUAUGCAAAAAAACAAAAAGAAUUAAUUUUACUUUGGGAAUUAGUGUUCUCUGUGUGUAUCGUCAAAUGUAAGCCACCCAAACUUCACCCCAAACAUCUACAGACUGAAAUCUGUGUGCAAAUCAAGCAUGAACCAAAGUGACUUACUGAGCUUGUGAUAAAAUCGUUUUUUUUAAUGAUCAGUCAGCUUUGAGAUAUAUUUUUUAUCAGUAAUGUAUUCAACAUUUUCAGGGUUUUGGUUUGUGCUCAUAGGAAGCUGUACUUUACUGUGUUGUACAUUUCUGAAUCGGACAGUUUUUUUUCACCAGCCCUCCUCUAUGUUUGACUGACUGCUUGCGACUGAGAUUUCCCGUUUUCAGUCAGCGAAUGACUGACUUGCAGUAUGAGUGAUUUAGGAAAUGAGUGAGUCCACAUUUUCAGUGUGUAUGUGUGAAAGAGAGCGAGAGAAAUCAAGACUGACGGGACAGACGCGUCCCGACAUGAAUCUGUAAACACCUUCGGCUCUGAACCAGCCGGAGCUGACGGUGUGACUGUGUUGAUUUGUGUUUUAUCUGCAAUAAAUAAUAUUUAACAUCA